rnacentral:pre_miRNA from 1 species
ACUGUACUCCCACCGAUCCAUAUUACUUGUCUCAGAUUUGUCUAGAUAUGGAUGUGUGUAGACACGCUUUAGUGUUAGAUACAUCCGUAUCUAGACAAAUCUAAGAUAAGUAGUAAUAUGGAUCUCAGGGAGUAUUAA